rnacentral:rRNA from 2 species
GUGACUGCGUACCUUUUGUAUAAUGGGUCAGCGACUUAUAUUCUGUAGCAAGGUUAACCGAAUAGGGGAGCCGGAGGGAAACCGAGUCUUAAUUGGGCGUUAAGUUGCAGGGUAUAGACCCGAAACCCGGUGAUCUAGCCAUGGGCAGGUUGAAGGUUGGGUAACACUAACUGGAGGACCGAACCGACUAAUGUUGAAAAAUUAGCGGAUGACCUGUGGCUGGGGGUGAAAGGCCAAUCAAACCGGGAGAUAGCUGGUUCUCCCCGAAAGCUAUUUAGGUAGCGCCUCGUGAAUUCAUCUCCGGGGGUAGAGCACUGUUUCGGCUAGGGGGCCAUCCCGGCUUACCAACCCGAUGCAAACUGCGAAUACCGGAGAAUGUUAUCACGGGAGACACACGGCGGGUGCUAACGUCCGUCGUGAAGAGGGAAACAACCCAGACCGCCAGCUAAGGUCCCAAAGUCAUGGUUAAGUGGGAAACGAUGUGGGAAGGCCCAGACAGCCAGGAUGUUGGCUUAGAAGCAGCCAUCAUUUAAAGAAAGCGUAAUAGCUCACUGGUCGAGUCGGCCUGCGCGGAAGAUGUAACGGGGCUAAACCAUGCACCGAAGCUGCGGCAGCGACACUCAGGUGUUGUUGGGUAGGGGAGCGUUCUGUAAGCCUGCGAAGGUGGCCUGUGAGGGUUGCUGGAGGUAUCAGAAGUGCGAAUGCUGACAUAAGUAACGAUAAAGCGGGUGAAAAGCCCGCUCGCCGGAAGACCAAGGGUUCCUGUCCAACGUUAAUCGGGGCAGGGUGAGUCGACCCCUAAGGCGAGGCCGAAAGGCGUAGUCGAUGGGAAACGGGUUAAUAUUCCCGUACUUGGUGUUACUGCGAAGGGGGGACGGAGAAGGCUAUGUUGGCCGGGCGACGGUUGUCCCGGUUUAAGCGUGUAGGUGUGUGUUCCAGGUAAAUCCGGUUCACUUUAACACUGAGGCGUGAUGACGAGGCACUACGGUGCUGAAGCAACAAAUGCCCUGCUUCCAGGAAAAGCCUCUAAGCAUCAGGUAACAUCAAAUCGUACCCCAAACCGACACAGGUGGUCAGGUAGAGAAUACCAAGGCGCUUGAGAGAACUCGGGUGAAGGAACUAGGCAAAAUGGUGCCGUAACUUCGGGAGAAGGCACGCUGACACGUAGGUGAAGUGAUUUACUCAUGGAGCUGAAGUCAGUCGAAGAUACCAGCUGGCUGCAACUGUUUAUUAAAAACACAGCACUGUGCAAACACGAAAGUGGACGUAUACGGUGUGACGCCUGCCCGGUGCCGGAAGGUUAAUUGAUGGGGUCAGCGCAAGCGAAGCUCCUGAUCGAAGCCCCGGUAAACGGCGGCCGUAACUAUAACGGUCCUAAGGUAGCGAAAUUCCUUGUCGGGUAAGUUCCGACCUGCACGAAUGGCGUAAUGAUGGCCAGGCUGUCUCCACCCGAGACUCAGUGAAAUUGAACUCGCUGUGAAGAUGCAGUGUACCCGCGGCAAGACGGAAAGACCCCGUGAACCUUUACUAUAGCUUGACACUGAACAUUGAGCCUUGAUGUGUAGGAUAGGUGGGAGGCUUUGAAGUGUGGACGCCAGUCUGCAUGGAGCCGGCCUUGAAAUACCACCCUUUAAUGUUUGAUGUUCUAACGUGGACCCGUGAUCCGGGUUGCGGACAGUGUCUGGUGGGUAGUUUGACUGGGGCGGUCUCCUCCUAAAGAGUAACGGAGGAGCACGAAGGUUGGCUAAUCCUGGUCGGACAUCAGGAGGUUAGUGCAAUGGCAUAAGCCAGCUUGACUGCGAGCGUGACGGCGCGAGCAGGUGCGAAAGCAGGUCAUAGUGAUCCGGUGGUUCUGAAUGGAAGGGCCAUCGCUCAACGGAUAAAAGGUACUCCGGGGAUAACAGGCUGAUACCGCCCAAGAGUUCAUAUCGACGGCGGUGUUUGGCACCUCGAUGUCGGCUCAUCACAUCCUGGGGCUGAAGUAGGUCCCAAGGGUAUGGCUGUUCGCCAUUUAAAGUGGUACGCGAGCUGGGUUUAGAACGUCGUGAGACAGUUCGGUCCCUAUCUGCCGUGGGCGCUGGAGAACUGAGGGGGGCUGCUCCUAGUACGAGAGGACCGGAGUGGACGCAUCACUGGUGUUCGGGUUGUCAUGCCAAUGGCACUGCCCGGUAGCUAAAUGCGGAAGAGAUAAGUGCUGAAAGCAUCUAAGCACGAAACUUGCCCCGAGAUGAGUUCUCCCUGAGACUUAGAGUCUCCUGAAGGAACGUUGAAGACGACGACGUUGAUAGGCCGGGUGUGUAAGCGCAGCGAUGCGUUGAGCUAACCGGUACUAAUGAACCGUGAGGCUUAACCUUACAACGCCGAAG